CUUUAGUGGCGAACGGGUGCGUAAUACGUGAGAAUCUGCCUUUAGGAGGAGUAUAACUGUUGGAAACGACUGCUAACACUCCAUAUGUCGAGAGAUGAAAUAAUUUAUUGCCUAAAGAUGAGCUCGCGCCUGAUUAGCUAGUUGGUGAGGUAAUGGCUCACCAAGGCCACGAUCAGUAGCUGGUUUGAGAGAACGAUCAGCCACACUGGGACUGAGACACGGCCCAGACUCCUCCGGGAGGCAGCAGUGAGGAAUUUUCCGCAAUGGGCGAAAGCCUGACGGAGCAAUACCGCGUGAGGGAUGAAGGAUUUUGGUCUGUAAACCUCUUUUCUCAAGAAAGAAGUUCUGACGGUACUUGAGGAAUAAGCAUCGGCUAACUCCGUGCCAGCAGCCGCGGUAAUACGGGGGAUGCAAGCGUUAUCCGGAAUCAUUGGGCGUAAAGCGCCUGUAGGUUGUUUAAUAAGUCUGUUGUUAAAGACUAGGGCUCAACCCUA
rnacentral:rRNA from 1 species